UAUAAUAUUGGUUGCGUUCCAAAGACAGCAGGUGGCGCGAGCCGUAAAUCCUGCCGAGGAUGGCACAUCGUUAUGAUUGCUUUUACCGUCCUCAUGUCUUUCGGCAUGGGGACGGUUUCCUUUUUGAACG
rfam:Firmicutes bacterium CAG:176_59_8 Ley3_66761_scaffold_9570, whole genome shotgun sequence.